rnacentral:rRNA from 1 species
UGUUAUAAAAAUUUUGAUGUCGCCGUUUAUAUUAAUUAACUAAAAAUUAAAAAUUAAUUAAAAUUAGAUCAUUUAAAAAUGUAAAUAAACACAAAAUGUAAACAUAACUUAAGUUUAAUUUAAGUAAAGAUAUUUAUCUCCUACCUUUUGUAUCAGGGCUAAUUAAAAAUAAAAAGGAAUUAUAUAUCUCGAAAUCUAUUAACAUAUAAAAAUUUUUAUAUUGUUACCAUUUAAAAGGUAAAAUAAAUAAAUUUUUAGAUUUGAGAUAAAACCAUGUUUUAAAUAUCUAGUUAUUAAAUAAACUAAUUUAAUUAAAUAUUGUUUUAAUAUUCAGUAAAUUAGAUUAUAAGUUUAAACAAUUAAAAACUUUAAAAGUUAAGUGUUAAAGUAUUAUAAAUGUAAGCCUAAAUUGUAUACCUAAAUAAAAUUAGUAAUUUUUAGUAUAAAAAGAUAUAAAAAUAUAGAUCACAAGUUUAAAUUUAAAGCAGAGUUAUUUUAACAUUUAAUUAAAAAAAAACUAAAAAUAAUAAGAUAAAAUGAUUAGAUUAAUAUACAAUUUAAAUUUAAAUUAAUAACUAGGCAACCAACUUCGUUUCCAACUGUUUAUCAAAAACAUAGUUUAAAGAAAAAGAUUUUAGAUAAGUUCUGCUCAAUGGAAAUGUUAAAUAGCUGCAGUAAAUUAACUGUACUAAGGUAGCAUAAUAAAUUGCUUUAUAAUUGAAAGCUUGAAUGAAAGAAAGCAUGUGAAACAAACUUUUUAAGAUAAAAUAGUAAAAAUUAAUAUUUAAGUGAAAAAUCUUAAAUAAUAUCAAAAGACAAGAAGACCCUUUAGAAUUUUACAACCUUAAUCAACUAAAAUGAUCCUGGUUGUUAAAUUGGGGAGAUUUUUAAAUAAUUAUAUCUUUAAAUAAAUCAAAAUGAUAAAAAUCAAAUUAAAUUAUCCAAAUAUGAAAUAAAAUAAAUUACCUAAGGGAUAACAGCGUAAAAUUUUUGAGAAGACCCUAUUCACAAAAUAAAUUACGACCUCGAUGUUGGAUUAAGAAUAACUCAUAAAGAAAAAUUUAUGAGGAAUGGUCUGUUCGCCCAAAUACUUCUUACAUGAUCUGAGUUCAGACCGGCGUAAGCCAGGUCAGUUUAUAUCUUUGAUUAAUUAAUUCCACACUACAGUACGAAAGGAUCUAGAGAGGUAAAUUUUUUAUAAACCC